rnacentral:rRNA from 1 species
UUGAACGCUGGCGGCAUGCCUUACACAUGCAAGUCGAACGGCAGCGCGGGAGCAAUCCUGGCGGCGAGUGGCGAACGGGUGAGUAAUACAUCGGAACGUGCCCAAUCGUGGGGGAUAACGCAGCGAAAGCUGUGCUAAUACCGCAUACGAUCUACGGAUGAAAGCAGGGGAUCGCAAGACCUUGCGCGAAUGGAGCGGCCGAUGGCAGAUUAGGUAGUUGGUGAGGUAAAGGCUCACCAAGCCUUCGAUCUGUAGCUGGUCUGAGAGGACGACCAGCCACACUGGGACUGAGACACGGCCCAGACUCCUACGGGAGGCAGCAGUGGGGAAUUUUGGACAAUGGGCGCAAGCCUGGUCCAGCCAUGCCGCGUGCAGGAUGAAGGCCUUCGGGUUGUAAACUGCUUUUGUACGGAACGAAACGGUCUUUUCUAAUAAAGAAGGCUAAUGACGGUACCGUAAGAAUAAGCACCGGCUAACUACGUGCCAGCAGCCGCGGUAAUACGUAGGGUGCAAGCGUUAAUCGGAAUUACUGGGCGUAAAGCGUGCGCAGGCGGUAAUGUAAGACAGUUGU